AGAUAAGCGUGUAAAUCAUAAGACUGCGUGCUGUUUUUUUGCCAGUGCUCUUAAUUAUUAUUUAGGAUAUACCUCUUCGCCUCCAUCCGGCUGGCUCAUCGCCAUCUGAUGGCCUCAGCCUCCAGCAGCAGCGCCCGCUCUCUGUUCGCCGAAUCGCGCACCAAACUGGUCGAACGCGUGGCCGGGAACGUGGAGGCCUGCGGGUCCGUGUGUCGACAGGUGGUGCGAGGCUCCAGGUCACACGAGACACUGCUGGCGGCAGCGCGCGCCACUGCUGCUCAGGAGUCAGCCAUCGACCACACGUGCGGAACAGUUCAGAAGUUACGCAUUCUCGCCACUCACCUGGGCUACCAGUGGGAGUCGAUCGCUCGCUCCGCUCACCAGAUUCCGCCGCUGGCUGAGCAGGCGAGGGCACUGCCGCCGCCCAACUGAGCAGACGAGGGCACUCCCGCCGCCCAACUGAGCAGGCGAGGGCACUCCCGCCGCCCAACUGAGCAGGCGAGGGCACUGCCACCGCCCAACUGAGCAGGCGAGGGCACUGCCACCGCCCAACUGAGCAGGCGAGGGCACUGCCACCGCCCAACUGAGCAGGCGAGGGCACUCCCACCGCCCAACUAAGGAGUGAGGGCACUCCCGCCGCUGGCUGAGCAGUUCUCUCUUCACACCACAAUGCAGCUAACUGUCGAGUUCAGUGGCGGUGCCGAGCUCCUCUUCGGGAACGUCAAACAGCACAAAGUGACGCUGCCGGAGCGGGGCGACGGAGACUCGGUGUGGACGAUGGAGGGCCUGCUGCCCUGGCUGAGGGAUAACCUGCUGAAGGAGCGGCCAGAGCUAUUCAUGCAGGGGGAGACGGUUCGUCCAGGGAUCCUGGUUCUGGUGAAUGACGCAGACUGGGAACUUCUCGGUCAGCUGAGCUACGAACUGCAGCCGGAUGACACGGUCGUGUUCAUAUCAACACUUCACGGCGGGUAGUCGCUUCACCCGGGAUGACAGAAGGUAAAGCUGGCCGCACUUGACUCUCCAAGGCGGUAGGGUUAUCAUCCGUGCUGACAGGCAAGUCUGGCCGUAUCAGAGCCCAUAAGGUGGCCAGUUAGUCUGGCCGUUUGGACUGAUAUAGAGCUAGGCUAGCCUCAUUAGACACUUUACGGCGGUUAGCCUAGCCUUCCGUGCAGAAAGAAGAGCCAGGCUGCCUUUGGUCCCACGCUGCGGGCAGACCACUUCGCUUACAGGUCAGGCUUACAUCAUCCAACCCCACAAGUUAACUGGCUUAUCCAGCCUGGAAAGCGCAUUAAACAUUAUGGAGAUCUCAAGCCUGUCGGUGUUUUCUUGGCUGAACAAACGCGUUUGGAGAAAACUGGUCCCUGGAAACUUCGGUCGCUCCAUAGACAUUGGUCAGCCUGGUGCUAUGGGAUGGUGCGUGAGUCGUGACUCACUCGUGUCCCGUGGUCUGAACGUGACGGUGGUCGUGUUUUUUGGGGUCACAACGUGUCAUGUAAUUAGUGAGUGCUGAUGUUGUACCGCUUGUUUUAUUGUGGUGGUUUUAUGUAUGGUGUAUGCCUAAUGUUUUGUUUCUGGAAACUUAAAAAAACGACGGUCGAGUAACGCGUCGAAUAAAUCAUGCUUUUUUUACACCUA
rnacentral:misc_RNA from 1 species